AGAAAAUCUAAAAAAUUUUAAAAAUGUCAACAAAUUUAUGAUUUUUUCUAAAUUUUUAGAUUUUUUAAAUAUUCUUUUAAAAUUUUGAAAUUUUCUUCUUAUGUUGACGUAGCAUUGAUAAUGGAAUGAUUAUCGGACAUUUUUUACCCAUCAUCAUUUUAUUAGGCAUUAAUGUCAUAUCAGCAACAUAAUUAAUAAUGCUAAUUUGAAGUAUCAAAGUGUCCAAUAAAAAUACAUAAUACAUAGGCCAUUUUUGUAUUUAAGUUGAAUAUAAAAUAUGAAAAAUGGGCUUAGGCAAAACAAAGAGAAAAGAAGUUCAUUUUAAAAAUAGGUGAUACGAGAUAUUGCCAAUGCACAAUAUCACUUAAAGAAUAUAUGGAAGUAAUCAUGAAUAUCGUCUCUUAAAAGAUUACAAUGGUAUCUAAUAUUAAGUAUCAAAAUUACACAUCAAUUCUAUCGAUAAAGGAUUUUAAUUUCUAUUACUACUAGUAAUUGAAGCUCCAAGACAAAAAAUUAACAAAGGAAUUAAAGAACUAAUUGAAACCAAAUGACAUGAAAGAACAUGAAUGAAAUUAACAAACCAAAAAUCGAACCAAUCAAGAAUUAAAAUCAACAAACUAACAAAAAGUAAAUGUCUUGAGCUUAAAAGUAAAUGAACUGAAAAAUUAAAAGAAGUGUAAAUCAACAUGAAUAUGAAAAGAACAAUAAAGUGGAAUAACAAAAAUAGCAAAAUUAAGCACUAAUUCGAAUUGAAAACAAUAUUAAAAGCAAAAAAGAAAUUUAAUUGAACAUGUAAUGAAGACAACGUAAAUUAAAUAAGUUUGAUUCAAGUUAGAUAUUACCUUUUAAGUACUGUCACUACCUUGAAGUAACAUUAACCAUCCUCAAUUAGCAUCACAAAUAAAGAAAUUCAAAAGGAAAAUAUCAAAACUGAAGCAUCAAACAGGAAACAGAAUUAUGGAAUAGCCUUCAAUCAAUCUCGAAUUGCUCUCUCAUCUCAAUGAAUUUGGCUCUCAAAUUUUGUAUAGAUAAAGCUAAUAAUGUGAGAACAUGUGAUAAAAAGCUUGAUUCAAAUUGAAACGGAAUUGCAAUCGAAAAUCAUCGGAAAUGGCAGCUAAAUAAAAUCUGGAAACAGCAAAACCAUAUAGAAUACAUCUCCUUCAAUCUUAAAUCUAGCUCAAAAUACAUGGAAUGUUGCUUUCAAAUUUUGUGUCGAAGUAGCUAACUCAUAUAUGAAUAAGUAGUAAAAAGUUUGGAACAAAGUGAAAUCAAAUUAAAAUUGAAAGCAACAAAAAACGAAGCUAAAUCAAAUCUGAAAAUUCUGGAAUAAAGUUGAAACAAUCUUGAAUUUAAAGCUUGAAUUGAGAAAAUUGCUUAAAGGAUUUGAAUGUAAAUUGAAUUAACAUGUAAAUAACGUAAUUGAAAGUUUAAAAGAACUUGAAUGCAAGAAAAUUAAAGAACAAAGGCUGUUUGGCAAGAAAGAAAAUGCAGGAAAGUAAAUUUUCUACUCUACUCCUACGCUAAUCUAAUCUCCAAAAUCUAAUCCCCCCUUUAAUUGGCAGCUAAGUUGGGUAUUUAUAUACAAAAUUGAGGUGUGAAGAACCAAUGAGCACUGCUCAAUUUUUCCGCUAGGCAGCCAGGUCAGCAACUAAUUUGGAGAAGUAAAAACCGCAUAAGCCGUCUCCACUCUCCACUGUCCAGCCAAUAUUUCUCCUUUACUUCAUGAGAUAAAUGAGGUAAAUUUUGUAGUAACU
rnacentral:lncRNA from 1 species